UCAGUCGUACGGCAGCAUGGGAGCUUGCUCCUGAUGGCGAGUGGCGAAAGGGAGAGUAAUAUAUCGGAACGUGCCCUAGAGUGGGGGAUAACUAGUCGAAAGAUUAGCUAAUACCGCAUACGAUCUACGGAUGAAAGUGGGGGAUCGCAAGACCUCAUGCUCAUGGAGCGGCCGAUAUCUGAUUAGCUAGUUGGUGGGGUAAAAGCUCACCAAGGCGACGAUCAGUAGCUGGUCUGAGAGGACGACCAGCCACACUGGGACUGAGACACGGCCCAGACUCCUACGGGAGGCAGCAGUGGGGAAUUUUGGACAAUGGGGGCAACCCUGAUCCAGCAAUGCCGCGUGAGUGAAGAAGGCCUUCGGGUUGUAAAGCUCUUUUGUCAGGGAAGAAACGGUUGCAGCUAAUAUCUGCGACUAAUGACGGUACCUGAAGAAUAAGCACCGGCUAACUACGUGCCAGCAGCCGCGGUAAUACGUAGGGUGCAAGCGUUAAUCGGAAUUACUGGGCGUAAAGCGUGCGCAGGCGGUUGUGUAAGUCAGAUGUGAAAUCCCCGGGCUCAACCUGGGAAUUGCAUUUGAGACUGCACGGCUAGAGUGUGUCAGAGGGGGGUAGAAUUCCACGUGUAGCAGUGAAAUGCGUAGAUAUGUGGAGGAAUACCGAUGGCGAAGGCAGCCCCCUGGGAUAACACUGACGCUCAUGCACGAAAGCGUGGGGAGCAAACAGGAUUAGA
rnacentral:rRNA from 1 species